UGCUCUGUUCUCCUGAUGGUCUGUCUGUCUGCUCUGUUCUCCUGAUGGUCUGUCUGUCUGCUCUGUUCUCCUGAUGGUCUGUCUGUCUGCUCUGUUCUCCUGAUGGUCUGUCUGUCUGUUCUGUUCUCCUAAAGGUCUGUCUGUCUGCUCUGUUCUCCUAAAGGUCUGUCUGUCUGCUCUGUUCUGUUCUCCUAAAGGUCUG